rnacentral:rRNA from 1 species
UUUAAAUGUUAAUAUGUUACUAAAUUAUUAAUAGUUAUGUUCUUUAAAGUUAAAGAAUUUGGCGGUAUUUUAGUCUAUUCAGAGGAACCUGUUCUAUAAUUGAUAUUCCACGAUUAAUAAUACUUAUUUUAUAUUAGUUUGUAUAUCGUCGUAAUUUGAAUAUUUUUAAAGAAGAUAAAUAUUCAUAAUUUAUUAUUAUAAAAUAAAUCAGAUCAAGGUGCAGCUUAUAAGUAAGGAGAAAUGGGUUACAUUAAAUUUAUUUAUGGUUAAUUUAAUGAAAUUUAAAUUUUAAAUUGGAUUUGAAAGUAAUUUUAAUUAUUUAAUUAAAAUGAUUUUAGCUCUAAAAUAUGU